rnacentral:rRNA from 1 species
AUACGAAGGGGGCUAGCGUUGCUCGGAAUUACUGGGCGUAAAGGGCGCGUAGGCGGAUGUUUAAGUCAGAGGUAAAAGCCCAGGGCUCAACCUUGGAACUGCCUUUGAUACUGGACAUCUUGAGUACGGGAGAGGUGUGUGGAACUCCGAGUGUAGAGGUGAAAUUCGUAGAUAUUCGGAAGAACACCAGUGGCGAAGGCGACACACUGGCCCGUUACUGACGCUGAGGCGCGAAAGCGUGGGGAGCAAACAGGAUUAGAUACCCUGGUAGUCCACGCCGUAAACGAUGAGUGCUAGUUGUCGGCAUGCAUGCAUGUCGGUGACGCAGCUAACGCAUUAAGCACUCCGCCUGGGGAGUACGGUCGCAAGAUUAAA